rnacentral:rRNA from 2 species
UUAGGUUAAGUUAUUAAGGGCGUAUGGUGGAUGCCUUGGCACUAGGAGCCGAUGAAGGACGUGACUAACUGCGAUAUGCUUCGGGGAGUUGUAAGUAAACUAUGAUCCGGAGAUUUCCGAAUGGGGAAACCUAACAGGUUUUACCGCCUGUUAUCACUAAGUGAAUUCAUAGCUUAGUUGAAGGUAGACGUGGGGAACUGAAACAUCUAAGUACCCACAGGAAGAGAAAGAAAUUCGAUUCCCUCAGUAGCGGCGAGCGAACCGGGAAGAGCCCAAACUAAGAAGCUUGCUUCUUAGGGUUGUAGGACUGAACAUCUGAGUUACCAAGAAAUGAAGUAGUUGAAUAAUCUGGGAAGAUUAGCCAAAGAGAGUGAUAGCCUCGUAAGCGAAACUUCGUUUCCUCAGUUCAGGAUCCUGAGUACGGCGGAACACGUGAAACUCCGUCGGAAUCCGGGAGGACCAUCUCCCAAGGCUAAAUACUACCUAGUGACCGAUAGUGAACCAGUACCGUGAGGGAAAGGUGAAAAGCACCCCGGGAGGGGAGUGAAAUAGUUCCUGAAACCAUAUGCCUACAAGUAGUCAGAGCUCGUUAAUGAGUGAUGGCGUGCCUUUUGUAGAAUGAACCGGCGAGUUACGUUAGCGUGCGAGGUUAAGGAGGAAAGUCCGGAGCCGUAGCGAAAGCGAGUCUGAAUAGGGCGAGAUAGUACGUUGACGUAGACCCGAAACCAGGUGACCUACCCAUGUCCAGGUUGAAGGUGCGGUAAAACCGCACUGGAGGACCGAACCCGUGUAUGUUGAAAAAUGCUGGGAUGAGGUGUGGGUAGAGGUGAAAUUCCAAACGAACUUGGAGAUAGCUGGUUCUCUCCGAAAUAGCUUUAGGGCUAGCCUCGGAGUUAAGAAUCGUGGAGGUAGAGCACUGUUUGGACUAGGGGCCCGUCUUGGGUUACUGAAUUCAGAUAAACUCCGAAUGCCACAGAUUUAUAUCCGGGAGUCAGACUGCGAGUGAUAAGAUCCGUAGUCGAAAGGGAAACAGCCCAGACCACCGAUUAAGGUCCCAAAAUAUGUGUUAAGUGGAAAAGGAUGUGGAAUUGCAUAGACAACUAGGAUGUUGGCUUAGAAGCAGCCACCAUUUAAAGAGUGCGUAAUAGCUCACUAGUCGAGUGAUCCUGCGCCGAAAAUGUAACGGGGCUAAACACAUUACCGAAAUCGUGGAUGUACCGUAAGGUACAUGGUAGGAGAGCGUUCUAAGGACGGCGAAGCUAGACCGUAAGGACUGGUGGAGUGCUUAGAAGUGAGAAUGCCGGUAUGAGUAGCGAAAGAUCAGUGAGAAUCUGGUCCACCGUAUGACUAAGGUUUCCUGGGGAAGGCUCGUCCUCCCAGGGUUAGUCGGGACCUAAGCCGAGGCCGAGAGGCGUAGGCGAUGGAUAACAGGUUGAGAUUCCUGUACUGGUUAAACUUGUUUGAACAAUGGAGGGACGCAGGAGGCUAUCGAUGCGUACUGUUGGAUAUGUACGUUCAAGCAAUAAGUCUGUAGAUGAGUCAAAUGCUUAUCUACUUAAGGACAAGUUGUGAUGAGGAGCGAAAUUU